AGCUUGCUACUUUGCCGGCGAGCGGCGGACGGGUGAGUAAUGUCUGGGAAACUGCCUGAUGGAGGGGGAUAACUACUGGAAACGGUAGCUAAUACCGCAUAACGUCGCAAGACCAAAGAGGGGGACCUUCGGGCCUCUUGCCAUCAGAUGUGCCCAGAUGGGAUUAGCUAGUAGGUGGGGUAACGGCUCACCUAGGCGACGAUCCCUAGCUGGUCUGAGAGGAUGACCAGCCACACUGGAACUGAGACACGGUCCAGACUCCUACGGGAGGCAGCAGUGGGGAAUAUUGCACAAUGGGCGCAAGCCUGAUGCAGCCAUGCCGCGUGUAUGAAGAAGGCCUUCGGGUUGUAAAGUACUUUCAGCGGGGAGGAAGGCGUUGAGGUUAAUAACCUCAGCGAUUGACGUUACCCGCAGAAGAAGCACCGGCUAACUCCGUGCCAGCAGCCGCGGUAAUACGGAGGGUGCAAGCGUUAAUCGGAAUUACUGGGCGUAAAGCGCACGCAGGCGGUCUGUCAAGUCGGAUGUGAAAUCCCCGGGCUCAACCUGGGAACUGCAUUCGAAACUGGCAGGCUAGAGUCUUGUAGAGGGGGGUAGAAUUCCAGG
rnacentral:rRNA from 1 species